CAGUCGCCGCGGUAAUACGAAGGGUGCAAGCGUUACUCGGAAUUACUGGGCGUAAAGCGUGCGUAGGUGGUGGUUUAAGUCCGUUGUGAAAGCCCUGGGCUCAACCUGGGAAUUGCAGUGGAUACUGGGUCGCUAGAGUGUGUCAGAGGAUGGUGGAAUUCCCGGUGUAGCGGUGAAAUGCGUAGAGAUCGGGAGGAACAUCAGUGGCGAAGGCGGCCAUCUGGGACAACACUGACGCUGAAGCACGAAAGCGUGGGGAGCAAACAGGAUUAGAUACCCCUGUAGUCCCUGUCUCUUAUAC
rnacentral:rRNA from 1 species